rnacentral:rRNA from 1 species
AACGAACGCUGGCGGCGUGUUUAAGACAUGCAAGUCGCACGGGAUAAGACAUGUAGUAAUACUUGUUUUAUUUAGUGGCGCACGGGUGAGUAACACGUGAAUUACAUGCCCUAUAGUGGGGAAUAGCCCAGGGAAACUUGGAUUAAUACCCCAUGGUAUCGAAAGAUUAAAGGUGGCCGCAAGGCUGUCGCUAUAGGAUUGGUUCGCGCCCUAUCAGCUUGUUGGUGAGGUAACGGCUCACCAAGGCAAUGACGGGUACCUGGUCUGAGAGGACGAUCAGGAAGACUGGAACUGAGACACGGGCCAGACACAUACGGGUGGCAGCAGUCGAGAAUAAUUCACAAUGGGGGCAACGCUGAUGGUGCAACGCCGCGUGGAGGAUGACGGUCUUCGGAUUGUAAACUCCUGUCAUCUGGGAGAAAGACCUGACGGUAAAUAGCCGGCAGGGUUGAUAGUACCAGAAGAGGAAGGGACGGCUAACUUCGUGCCAGCCGCCGCUGUAA